GACGUAGGGCGCGAGCGUUGUCCGGAUUUAUUGGGCGUAAAGAGCUCGUAGGCGGCUUGUCGCGUCGUCCGUGAAAACCCACAGCUCAACUGUGGGCUUGCGGUCGAUACGGGCAGGCUAGAGUUCGGUAGGGGAGACUGGAAUUCCUGGUGUAGCGGUGGAAUGCGCAGAUAUCAGGAGGAACACCGGUGGCGAAGGCGGGUCUCUGGGCAGUAACUGACGCUGAGGAGCGAAAGCCAGGGGAGCAAACGGG
rnacentral:rRNA from 1 species